GAGCACGUAGGUGGGUUUGUCGCGUCGUCUGUGAAAUUCCGGGGCUUAACUCCGGGCGUGCAGGCGAUAUGGGCAUAACUUGAGUACUGUAGGGGUAACUGGAAUUCCUGGUGUAGCGGUGAAAUGCGCAGAUAUCAGGAGGAACACCGAUGGCGAAGGCAGGUUACUGGGCAGUUACUGACGCUGAGGAGCGAAAGCAUGGGUAGCGAACAGGAUUAGAUACCCUGGUAGUCCAUGCCGUAAACGGUGGGCACUAAGUAGAGGGG
rnacentral:rRNA from 1 species